AAAUACAAAAAAAUAGUUUUUUUUCCUUCCUCUCUCUCCGACCUCAUAAAAAUUUCAUACGCUCCGCUCUCCACUUCCUAAGCCCUUACCCCUCAAAACCCUAACUCUAUCCCCUUUCUUACAAUUCCGUCCCAAAUAUCGAUCAAAAAUCUCGUGGGGAGAAGCCGAUAGCCAUGAACGUUGCUGAUUCUAGGGACCAAGCCCUUUCUCUGCUCACUGCCGCGCUCAACCACUCUGAUUUGGCGGUGAAGCUUUCGUCUCUUAAACAGGCCAAGGACAUUCUUUCCUCUCUCGAUUCUUCUUCCGCCGCCGAACUCUUCCCCUA
rnacentral:lncRNA from 1 species